CUUUACUAAAACAACCUUCUUGGCUGGCAAUAGUGAAAUUGCUGAAAAAAUUUGGGUAAGCUGUUGGGACAAGUUAGUGAUGUGAAGAAUCGAAACCGUGUACGCAGGUCAAGAACAACCGAAGUGAUGACCAAAACCCAGAUUUGUCAAUUACUUGUCGAUUUUCGAAAUUAGGCAUAUCACAAAUGACAUUACACCGUAUUUUGCAUCAAAACAUAUGUCUUCGAAGUUCAGUUAACACAAUAACUCAAACGGGUAUGGAUCACCAGAAACGUCGUAUCUUCGGUGAUCGGGUCCUUGAAAUGCACCAAAAUGAUUUUCAUCGAAAAAUCAUCUUCAGUGAUGAGGCCCAUUUUCACGUCGAAGGCUACGUCAAUAGGCAUAAUUAUCGAAUUUGGAGCUUGGAAAUCUCUGUGAAUGAUUGUUGAAAAGCCUCUCCAUCCUCAAGGUGUCACUGUUUGCUAUGGUUUUUGGGCUGGUGUUGUGAUUGGGGCUUUACUUAUUCGAAAAUAAGGCUGGUUCAAAUGAUUGAAUUAAAGAGUUAUGAUUAAUGAUUUUAUUAGCCAGAAUUAGAAGAUAUUGAUCAAGAACGAUGUUCAUUUUCAACAAGACGGCAAUACGUGCCACACAAGCAACAAAAAUAGCAAUUUUGCAAAAAAAGUUUCCUGGUCGUAUUAUUUGUUGGAGAGCUGACCACAAUUGGCCAUCAAGGUCUUGUCAUUUAACACCUUUAGACUUUUUUCCUUGAGGUCACGUGAAAGAUAACGUCUAUGCCAAUACUCCACAAUCUGAUAAAGGAAACUCUUGCUCAGGCAAAACUAUGGUUUGAUGCGAACAAACUGAAGGAACAUAGAUAAGACUCAGCAUUUUCUAAUCGAAAUCCGACCUACACAAAGAACCAGCCUUAAGCUACUAGGAGUGACAAUUGAGCCUGAUCUUAAGUUCACAUGCCAUAUAGAAGAUAUGAAGAGGAAGCUGUCCAGAUCAAUAUUUACUGUGAGGAGAACUCAACAACUUGCCGGCCAGCUAUCUGCAAAGAAAGCAUACUUCAGCUACUUUCACAGUAUAACCUCCUAUUGCAUCAUUUUUUGGGGUGAUAGUCCACAUGCUGUGAAGAUAUUUAUUAAGCAAAAAAAGGCCAUUAGAGCAUUGUGUGGUACAGGACGUCUGGAUAGCUGGAGAGAGGAACAACUUUCAUCAUGACUACUCUACCAGACACGCCAACAACCUUGCCCUUCAACAUCAUAGGGUAGGAUCUUCCCAGCUGACCAUCAAUCAUACAGGCCUGAAGGUUUAUAAUAAGUUACCCCUAGGUUUCAGGCAACUAACAAGAAGAACCCUGAAAAGCCAUUUGAAGAAAUAUCUACUGGAGAAGGCCUAUACUACUCCAUGAAUGAAUAUUUUCUGAAUCUGUGAUUUAUCUGUUUUUUUGUUUGCUAUUUAUGUUAUUGAUGUUUUUAUAUUGUUUCUACAUUAGAUGUUGACUCCCCAUGUACUUUUGAUGGGUUAAAAUAAUCUUCCAUGUAUUUAUUAGGAGGAUGAAUAAAUAAAUAAA